AAUUGCAGAAUCCCGUGAACCAUCGAGUCUUUGAACGCAAGUUGCGCCCCAAGCCGUCAGGCCGAGGGCACGUCUGCCUGGGUGUCACGCAUCGCUGCCCUUCCCCCAGCUCCCCUCGCGGGGCGCUGUCGGGCGGGUGGAGACUGGCCUCCCGCGCGCUCCCCGCUCGCGGUUGGCCCAAAUUCGAGUCUUCGGCGGCCGCGCCGCGACGAUCGGUGGCGAGAAAAAAAACUCUCGAGCUCUCGUCGCGCGCUCGCGCCUCCGUGUUCGCGGCUCAAGGACCCUUUACGCGCCCCGUACGCGGGCGCUCGCUUCGCGACCCCAGGUCAGGCGGGACUACCCGCUGAGUUUAAGCAUAUCAAUAAGCGGAGGAAAAGAAACUUACCAGGAUUCCCCUAGUAACGGCGAGCGAACCGGGAAGAGCCC
rnacentral:rRNA from 1 species